rnacentral:misc_RNA from 1 species
UUGAGCCCUGCCCUCACGGGUAGACCUCCAACCCUGUGUAUUUAUACCUUUGUUGCUUCGGCAGGCCGUCUAGGUUUCGGCCUGGCUAUGGGCUUCGGCUCGUAAGCGCCUGCCAGAGGAAAUCAAACUCUGAAUUUUUGUAUCGUCUGAGUAAAACAUAAUAAGUUA